rnacentral:ribozyme from 12 species
UUUUUUUUUUUUUUUUUUUUUUUUUUCUUCUUG